rnacentral:lncRNA from 1 species
GCAAGCUCUGCUGCUCAUGGGCCCUGUGUCCCCAGCCUGUGGGAACUAGGGAUAAGUUUGGUUGCAGACAUUGCAAGAAAGGAAAAAAAAGACAAACCUUAAUUAUAGAUUAAGAUGCUUACGUUGUAAUCAGUGUUAGAAGAUUAAUGUUACUUUUCUUACUGAUUGCUUUAUCCAGUGAUAAGUAUUAACAGAGUUCUUUAUUAGGUAAUUGUCAUUCUCUAAAGAAGUUUUAUGACGUAGGAAAAGUUGACUUGAUCUAAAUUAUCAUCGCUUAGCAGCAGUGUCUUCUGGCCAGAAAGUAGUCUUCUGGGAGGUUUAAUCGGACUAUCCAGCAAAUCUAGCUGAGGACCAAACCCAGGGCCUUGCGCUUGCUAGAUCUGCCACCUCCCCCUUUACAGACUGGACUGGACUGCUAAAGCACCCUGAGAACCUGAGAGUCCCCAUUAGAGUCUGCUUUGGAAGCAGGAACAGACUAUUCCAUUAUGGAUGGAGGGGAUGAUGGUAACCUUGUCAUCAAAAAGAGGUUUGUGUCUGAGGCAGAACUAGAUGAGCGGCGCAAAAGGAGGCAAGAAGAAUGGGAGAAAGUUCGAAAACCAGAGGACCCAGAAGAAUGUCCAGAGGAGGCGUAUGACCCCCGGUCUCUGUACGAACGGCUGCAGGAACAGAAAGACAGGAAGCAGCAGGAGUAUGAGGAGCAGUUCAAAUUCAAAAACAUGGUAAGAGGGUUAGAUGAAGAUGAGACCAACUUCCU